rnacentral:rRNA from 1 species
CCCUUAGAUGUUCUGGGCCGCACGCGCGCUACACUGACGAAUGCAACGAGCUUAUAACCUUGGCCGAAAGGUCUGGGUAAUCUCCAAAUUUCGUCGUGAUGGGGAUAGAUUGUUGCAAUUAUUAAUCUUCAACGAGGAAUGCCUAGUAAGCGCAAGUCAUCAGCUUGCGUUGAUUACGUCCCUGCCCUUUGUACACACCGCCCGUCGCUCCUACCGAUUGAAUGGUCCGGUGAAGCGCUCGGACCGCGGCCUCUUGACGGUUCGCUGUCGAUUGGCUGUGGGAAGUUCGUUAAACCUUAUCAUUUAGAGGAAGGAGAAGUCGUAACA